CCUACGGGAGGCAGCAGUGGGGAAUUUUCCGCAAUGGGCGAAAGCCUGACGGAGCAAGACCGCGUGGGGGAAGAAGGCUCUUGGGUUGUAAACCCCUUUUCUCUGGGAAGAAAGUUGUGAAAGCAACCUGACGGUACCAGAGGAAUCAGCAUCGGCUAACUCCGUGCCAGCAGCCGCGGUAAGACGGAGGAUGCAAGCGUUAUCCGGAAUGAUUGGGCGUAAAGCGUCCGCAGGUGGCAGUUCAAGUCUGCUGUCAAAGACCGGGGCUUAACUUCGGAAAGGCAGUGGAAACUGAACAGCUAGAGUAUGGUAGGGGCAGAGGGAAUUCCUGGCGUAGCGGUGAAAUGCGUAGAGAUCAGGAAGAACAUCGGUGGCGAAGGCGCUCUGCUGGACCAUAACUGACACUCAGGGACGAAAGCUAGGGGAGCGAAUGAGAUUAGAUACCCCAGUAGUCCUAGCCGUAAACGAUGGAUACUAGGUGUUGGACGUAUCGACCCGUGCAGUACCGUAGCUAACGCGUUAAGUAUCCCGCCUGGGGAGUACGCACGCAAGUGUGAAACUCAAAGGAAUUGACGG
rnacentral:rRNA from 1 species